rnacentral:lncRNA from 1 species
AUUUAUUCCUUCACCUGGUAAAUUUGGGGAAAAGGGGCUGGACGGAACCAAAGCAAAGAAAGUAAAAGUUAGAGCCCCCUCUCUUAACUUACCUGCCUACCCACUACUUACCUAAUAUUUCAGCAACACCUGGUGCGCUAACCAAAAUACAGGGGGUGGUCCACCUAGGUCUUACCUAGUGUGCACAGACAGUAAAUACUACGGUUAUGUAUGCCCACAGGCCUCUUGCCUAAGCAUUCCCUCGGUGCCUUCCCCUUCCCCCCUGGGAACAAAUGAAAAAGAAUACAAACAUAAGUAAACCAUUUCAAUAAUCAAAAACACUGCCUCCUAUGGGGACACACAUACCUUAGAAGCAGCGGCUACAAAAUACUUAACAAAAACCUGUCUCUGAGCAACAACCAACACAGGACAUAACCAUCAGCUCCCUCUCAGCAACAACCAACACAGGACAUACUAAUAAGCGCUCUGUCUGCGCAACAAACACAGAUCAUAACCAUCAGCUUUCUCUCAGCAAAGGAACACUGUUUUUUCUAGCUGGAGAAGGAGUCUGUAAUGGGAUACAGCUGUAUCCUCUGAUGAGAGGGCGGGGUCAGCUCCAAUUAACAUUGGGGCUGACCAAUCAGCUGCUUGGGGGAAUCCAGGAAGCCAUUUCCUGAAACACACACAUACAAACAAAACCACAACACAGAAACUGGGGAACGUAACACACCUUUUCAUGAUCUGUAGGCAUCACGAGAAAAUGUGUUCGAGAGCCUUUAUGGACGAAAGAAAAAGAAAAGUGAUUUGAUGAAUUCUGAAAAUUGCCACAUUCAGUUCUUCAACCCAUGGUAAUGUUGGUAGAUUAGUGUACAUAGAAUUAAAAAAGGGAGAAUAGUUUACAAUACCCUGGUCUAUUGCCCGCAUGGAACUAUGUGACCAUGGAAUUAUGAUGACAAGGUCAAGUAUUGCGCCAAGGUUGGCAGCCGUCGCAGUGGGAUGCACUGCUGCAGAGGAAGAAAAAAACAGUCAAUGUGCUGCUGUUUAUGCUGUUAUGAGUUCAAUUAAAGUUCAAGAACAGACUACUGUAAAUGGAGGAGCAAAACCCAGCUUUGCCAUAUUGGACCUCUUUCAAGCCCCAUUUGAUGGCAACGUUGAGAGCCUUACCUGCAUGUGAGUCGGCUCUUACGAUUCAUUCCCUCUUGACCCUCAAAUACUCUGAGCUCCUCUGGAGUCAAGAUCCCAGGACAUCAAAGAGAAAAGUCUUACUUCAUGUCAGACACACACAUACAAACCCCACUAUGACAAUUUACACACAAUGGGACGAUCUGAAGGGCACCAUUCUGUGCUGUUCUCCUCAUUCCGGUUUGGAUGGGAAUUUACAUAAAAUGCAUUGUCAUGUGCAACUGCACAAUUUCAAGCAAUGACAGUCUACCAGAGAGAGAUGGAGGGAAAACAAGUAGGAGAAAAUUAGAUGGAUAAAGGUGAAGUGGUGAAACAGAAUGGCUGUUAAAACAGUGAAAUAGACAAUAGAACUAAUAGGCGCUGGCAGGGUGAAAAAUGCCCUAAAAUAAGGCCUGUUUUUUGCUAUUACUGAAACUAUGGCAAGCAGCUGGGACAUAUGGUGAUAUUAUGAAACGGGUCUCCAAGGCGGAUGCAAUUAACUAGUUUUCAUCGGAAAAAAAGUAUUGUUAAAAAUGUAAUGUGUCCAGCCUACCUAUGGAGAUAAAUGUUUUCGAGUUGGCUAGCUAACAUCAUGCACAAAACAAAUUAUGCUAACCUUAGCAACAUUGCUAGUUAACGUUCCAAGUUGCGCCUUCAAAGUAGAAGUUCUGAUCUUUCUGGAUCACGGAGAAAACUCAGUUUUCGUUGCGACUGAGGCUGAGCAUCUCCAAAGCAGAACAACCUCCUAUGUUUGUUUACUUUUUGUAUUGUCAUCAUCAAAUGGCUAAAUUAUCCACCAAGAUGCGAUAAAUACAAAUUUGGCUCACCAGAAACAAACAGUAAACAACAAACCAACAACCAUCCCACUUUGAGGUGCGGAACUUAACGGUCUGCGCAAUUUGAUACGCGCUAGUAGUAUUGUGCAGUCAUGGGACCAGCUCAUCGCGAAGUCGUUACUAGUUACCACAUCCACAAAGUCAUAAUUAUAUCUAAACCCCACCUAUUUGUACACUUUUUCUACUUAAAAUCGUAUUUUAAUCCUAUCCUUAACCACACUGCUAACCUUAGGCAUAACCCUAAAUUAAGACCAACAAACACAUUUUGGUUUUCUUUCAUAUAGCCUAGUUUUACUUUGUGGCUGUCGUAACUAGUGACAACCCAUCACGAGCUCCAAAAGUAAAAAUGUCCGUAAUACUGUGGCUGUUUUAUAACUAAUUAAGGAUUAAUUGAACGAAAAGGUGUUACAUUUGGUGUUGUCCCUGCUGCUGGGAGCGUCGAGGACUAUUGGGGAACCUGAAGCAGAUACAAUAAAGUUCCUCCCUGGGCUUCAAAAGCAGCCUAACUUCAAACAGUACUCAGGAUACUUCAAUGUGGCUGACAACAAACCACCUCACUACUGCCUGCCUGUCACGCGAAUGCAGUAAGAAGCCAAGAGGGUAGUGAAGUCUGCACAACGCAUCACCGUGGGCAAACUACCUGCCCUCCAGGACACCUACACCAUGUCACAGGAAUGCCAAAAAGAUCAUCAAGGACAACAACCACCCAAGCCACUGCCUGUUCACCCCGCUAUCAUCCAGAAGGCGAGGUCAGUACAGGUGCAUCAAAGCUGGGACCGAGAGACUGAAAAACAGCUUCUAGCUCAAGGCCAUCAGACUGUUAAACAGCCGUCACUAACAUUGACUGGCUGCUGCCAACAUACUGACUCAAAUCUCUAGCCACUUUAAUAAUAACAAAUUGGAUGUAAUAAAUGUAUCACUAGUCACUUUAUUACAAUGCCACUUUAUAUAAUGUUUACAUACCCUACAUUACUCAUCUCAUGUAUAUACUGUACUCGAUACCACCUACUGCAUCUCGCCUAUGCCGCAAGGCCAUCAUCAUCCAUAUGUACAUAUUCUUAUUAAUUCCUUUACACUUGUCUGUAUAAGGGAGUUGUGAAAUUGUUAGAUUACUUGUUAGAUAUUACUGCACGGUCGGAACUAGAAGCACAAGCAUUUCGCUACACUCGCAUUAACAUCUGCUAACCAUGUGUAUGUGACCAAUAACAUUUGAUUUGAAGCGUUUCGUUAGCUUGAUCCCAGAUAUGUUUAUGCCAUUUUGUCAACCAUAGGAGUUGGCUGUCUGUACAGCACCAACUGAUCUGCGACCAGGGCUAGUGUUUUGUUGUCCUAGCCUAGGAGUUUUGUAUGGCGUCUGCUUUGGGUGUUUGAUCAUGCUGUGAUAAGACAUGCUGCUGUACACUGACAGAUGAAUUUUAAGUAUAAAGGCCAUUGUGUGAUUAGAUAUUUGUAGAUGGGAGAAAUACGAUCAAGAUUUUUCAUUCACCAUCACAUUGAUUUCAGCUUCUUGCACUUGUUGAUUGUAUGUAUUCAGUGUUCGAUGGUACACAAGGCAAUUGUGUGGUUCAUCCACUAUGGGGUGAAUCCUAACUUGCUCUUAAGUAAAAAAAUGUGUUUGUCUCCCAUUGACAUCAAUGCAUAACUACGUGGAAGUUAGGAUUUGCCCCAAAGUAAUUGCCUUAAAUAGCAGUCUAUGUACUCAAAGGGAUCUGUUCACUGUCAGGAAUUGUGUUUUGAAAAGGAACAAAUGCUUCUAGAUGCACAGUAAUUCAAUUAUAUAAUAAUAAACGGCAGUUAUGUGCCUCAUCACAGAAAUGAAUACUUGGAACCACUUUGAUAAAAAGGGAAUGUGUCAAUUCUUCAGCUGUAUUCACAUUGAUUCUGUCAUGAUUUUAUAAUAAAACUGUUCUUU